rnacentral:rRNA from 3 species
CCUGGCGGCACUAGCGCGGUGGUCCCACCUGACCCCAUGCCGAACUCAGAAGUGAAACGCCGUAGCGCCGAUGGUAGUGUGGGGUCUCCCCAUGCGAGAGU